GGAAGCGUUGGGAAAUCGAAGGAGGCAUGCGAUGCAUGAGAAAGACUUUCACUUCUGUUCCCUCUUCCUGGCUCCCCGGACCAAACAUGCACCCCCUUUCCUGUGUUCUCCCUGCCGUCCGCCUGGCCUCACCCUGUCCGCGGUAGAUGAGAAGACGGAAGCCCAGAAAGGCACACUGAUUCUCCAACAUCACACAGCUAAACAGCAGCUCUCUGAUCUCCUUGAGCCCACCAGGCAGCCCUCUGAUGCGUUAAAAGGACACAGCCUGGAGAAGGAUGCACCCCAAAUAACGAUCAGGGCAUGUGGAAAUUCCCAGUCCAAGCAACUCAAGCUGCUGCAGGGACAAUGCCAGAUCCUUAACCCUCUGCACCACAAGGGAACUCCUUAAAUUUCUUAAAAUAAGCAGGAAAAACUUCUAUACGUAAAUUCUUUUUUUUUUCUUUUUUUGCUUUUUAGGGCCACACCCGAGGCAUGUGGAGGUUCCCAGGCUAGGGGUCCAAUUGGAGCUACAGCUGCUGG
rnacentral:lncRNA from 1 species